rnacentral:lncRNA from 1 species
CGCUAGAAUCUCAUCGCAAUCCACGAUUCUAACGGGCUGGGAAGCUAAUUGUUGGGGUCAAAAAUGGACAUGACAAAGUUAACAUCCAAAUAUCCGUAAAAAUCGGCAUGAACGCUUUUACGAAAAAGUUAUUUUCGUAAAGAAAUCUUUACGAAGAACCUUGCGGUGAAAUUUUGCACUAAUCUCGGUUGAUCCAUCGAAACUAAACACCCAUAGUCUAAGAACACGUUCA